AGAGUAAUGACUGGGUUUGGCCUGUCGCUGACUGACAGGGAGACAGAGUAAUGACUGGGUUUGGCCUGUCGCUGACUGACAGGGAGACAGAGUAAUGACUGGGUUUGGCCUGUCGCUGACUGACAGGGUUACAGAGUAAUGACUGGGUUUGGCCUGUCGCUGACUGACAGGGAGACAGAGUAAUGACUGGGUUUGGCCUGUCGCUGACUGACAGGGAGACAGAGUAAUGACUGGGUUUGGCCUGUCGCUGACUGACAGGGAGACAGAGUAAUGACUGGGUUUGGCCUGUCGCUGACUGACAGGGAGACAGAGUAAUGACUUCCAACUGGGUUGAAUACAGGUCAGACAGAUAGACUGCCCAUUGAGUUGAGACUGGAUCCUGGACAGGUCUAGAGGAUGAAACAUUCAUAUAUGUACAGCUGGUCUGGUCUUCCCUCACAGUAGGGCUGGUCUGGUCUUCCCUCACAGUAGAGCUGGUCUGGUCUUCUAUCACAGUAGGGCUGGUCUAGUCUUCCAUCACAGUAGGGCUGGUCUGGUCUUCCAUCACAGUAGGGCUGGUCUGGUCUUCCAUCACAGUAGGGCUGGUCUGGUCUUCCAUCACAGUAAGGCUGGUCUGGUCUUCCAUCACAGUAGGGCUGGUCUGGAAGCGUAACACCAACAGAUCAGGGUGCUAGGUGUUAAAAGAGGGAGAGGUAAAGGUAACACUAACAGAUCAGGGUGCUAGGUGUUAAAAGAGGGAGAGGUAAAGGUAACACCAACAGAUCAGGGUGCUAGGUGUUAAAAGAGGGAGAGGUAAAGGUAACACUAACAGAUCAGGGUGCUAGGUGUUAAAAGAGGGAGAGGUAAAGGUAACACCAACAGAUCAGGGUGCUAGGUGUUAAAAGAGGGAGAGGUAAAGGUAACACCAACAGAUCAGGGUGCUAGGUGUUAAAAGAGGGAGAGGUAAAGGUAACACCAACAGAUCAGGGUGCUAGGUGUUCAAAGAGGGAGAGGUAAAGGUAACACCAACAGAUCAGGGUGCUAGGUGUUAAAAGAGGGAGAGGUAAAGGUAACACCAACAGAUCAGGGUGCUAGGUGUUAAAAGAGGGAGAGGUAAAGGUAACACCAACAGAUCAGGGUGCUAGGUGUUAAAAGAGGCUGUAGGAAAGGUAACACCAGCAGAUCAGGGUGCUAGGUGUUAAAAGAGGCUGUAGGAAGGGUAACACCAACAGAUCAGGGUGCUAGGUGUUAAAAGAGGCUGUGGGAAGGGUAACACCAACAGAUCAGGGUGCUAGGUGUUAAAAGAGGGAGAGGUAAAGGUAACACCAACAGAUCAGGGUGCUAGGUGUUAAAAGAGGGAGAGGUAAAGGUAACACCAACAGAUCAGGGUGCUAGGUGUUAAAAGAGGGAGAGGUAAAGGUAACACCAACAGAUCAGGGUGCUAGGUGUUAAAAGAGGGAGAGGUAAAGGUAACACCAACAGAUCAGGGUGCUAGGUGUUCAAAGAGGGAGAGGUAAAGGUAACACCAACAGAUCAGGGUGCUAGGUGUUAAAAGAGGGAGAGGUAAAGGUAACACCAACAGAUCAGGGUGCUAGGUGUUAAAAGAGGGAGAGGUAAAGGUAACACCAACAGAUCAGGGUGCUAGGUGUUAAAAGAGGGAGAGGUAAAGGUAACACCAACAGAUCAGGGUGCUAGGUGUUAAAAGAGGGAGAGGUAAAGGUAACACCAACAGAUCAGGGUGCUAGGUGUUAAAAGAGGGAGAGGUAAAGGUAACACCAACAGAUCAGGGUGCUAGGUGUUAAAAGAGGGAGAGGUAAAGGUAACACCAACAGAUCAGGGUGCUAGGUGUUAAAAGAGGGAGAGGUAAAGGUAACACCAACAGAUCAGGGUGCUAGGUGUUAAAAGAGGGAGAGGUAAAGGUAACACCAACAGAUCAGGGUGCUAGGUGUUAAAAGAGGGAGAGGUAAAGGUAACACCAACAGAUCAGGGUGCUAGGUGUUAAAAGAGGGAGAGGUAAAGGUAACACCAACAGAUCAGGGUGCUAGGUGUUCAAAGAGGGAGAGGUAAAGGUAACACCAACAGAUCAAGGUGCUAGGUGUUAAAAGAGGGAGAGGUAAAGGUAACACCAACAGAUCAGGGUGCUAGGUGUUAAAAGAGGGAGAGGUAAAGGUAACACCAACAGAUCAGGGUGCUAGGUGUUAAAAGAGGGAGAGGUAAAGGUAACACCAACAGAUCAGGGUGCUAGGUGUUAAAGGAGGCUGUGGAAAAACAGAUCAGGGUGCUAGGUGUUAAAAGAGGGAGAGGUAAAGGUAACACCAACAGAUCAGGGUGCUAGGUGUUCAAAGAGGGAGAGGUAAAGGUAACACCAACAGAUCAGGGUGCUAGGUGUUCAAAGAGGGAGAGGUAGAGGUAAC